UCCCUGAUGGUCCAGGGUUAAGACUCUGCACUUCCACUGCAGGCGAUUCGGGUUCCAUCCCUGGUCAGGGAA
rnacentral:tRNA from 1 species